AGUCUGAACAGUUCUUUGAAUUUCUCACCCUAAGAUCUGGCCUGUACAUUUCAAAAGAAUUCUUGAGAGGUUCCUGGAGAGAUUCUGGGAGCCAAACACUCCAUUGGAAUCCUAGCUGUUUUAGAGAACAACUUGUAAUGGAGCCUUCAUCUCUUGAGCUGCCGGCUGACACAGUGCAGCGCAUUGCGGCUGAACUCAAAUGCCACCCAACGGAUGAGAGGGUGGCUCUCCACCUAGAUGAGGAAGACAAGCUGAGGCACUUCAGGGAGUACUUUUAUAUUCCCAAAAUACGGGAUCUGCCUCCAGUUGAUUUAUCAUUAGUGAAUAAAGAUGAAAAUGCCAUCUAUUUCUUGGGAAAUUCUCUUGGCCUUCAACCAAAAAUGGUUAAAACAUAUCUUGAAGAAGAACUAGAUAAGUGGGCCAAAAUAGCAGCCUAUGGUCAUGAAGUGGGGAAGCGUCCUUGGAUUACAGGAGAUGAGAGUAUUGUAGGCCUUAUGAAGGACAUUGUAGGAGCCAAUGAGAAAGAAAUAGCCCUAAUGAAUGCUUUGACUGUAAAUUUACAUCUUCUAAUGUUAUCAUUUUUUAAGCCUACGCCAAAACGAUAUAAAAUUCUUCUAGAAGCCAAAGCCUUCCCUUCUGAUCAUUAUGCUAUUGAGUCACAACUACAACUUCACGGACUUAACAUUGAAGAAAGUAUGCGGAUGGUAAAGCCAAGAGAGGGUGAAGAAACCUUAAGAACAGAGGAUAUCCUUGAAGUAAUUGAGAAGGAAGGAGACUCAAUUGCAGUGAUCCUGUUCAGUGGCGUGCAUUUUUACACUGGACAGCACUUUAAUAUUCCUGCCAUCACAAAAGCUGGACAAGCGAAGGGUUGUUAUGUUGGCUUUGAUCUAGCACAUGCAGUCGGAAAUGUUGAACUCUACUUACAUGACUGGGGAGUUGAUUUUGCCUGCUGGUGUUCCUACAAGUAUUUAAAUGCAGGAGCAGGAGGAAUUGCUGGUGCCUUUGUUCAUGAAAAGCAUGCCCACACGAUUAAACCUGCAUUAGUGGGAUGGUUUGGCCAUGAACUCAGCACCAGAUUUAAGAUGGAUAACAGUAAGUGUAUUUAUUUUACCUAAUAAGUCAUUUUUAUUUUAACUUUAUUUCAGUGUUCAUCUGUUUUUGUAUUAUGUGUAAUGUAUAUGCCCCAGGGAGAGUGCACUUCAAAAAUGUCACUGAGAAUUGUCACAUAAGAAAUGACAUUUCCAGAGUGUAAGACUAAGAGUUUAUAGAUUUUAGCACGAUUUUGAGUCUAUCCCUUAGUAGGGAGGUAAAAGAAAAUGAAGUCCAAGGCAAGGGUCAUGUGGCUUGGUCAGCUGCCAUCAAUAUAGAGUGCCUGAAACACUGGGCAUGGAGGACAGGAGGAAAUUUGGGGCUUGGAGUUAGAUCCAGAAAGACUAGGGUGUUAAUCACACUUUGCUGCUUAAUAGUUUUUUGAUCCUGCACAAGUUACAUCAUCUUGUGUCAUUGUUUUUUCUUUCCCACUUAUCUAAUGUGAAUAAUAAAAUCUAUUUAAAGAUUUGAUUUUAGGGUUAGUCAAGCUCAAAACAAUAAGCCAAGUAGGACAUAGCAGUACCUUAAUAAUUACUCAUUUUCACUCCUCUUUUCUCCUAUUUUCGUUUUAUGGCUUUUGCCAUGUACCAAAGAGUGUAGCAAUUCCUGUGAGCAGUUAACCCCAGCAGAUAGAAGUGAAACUCUACCAUACAGAGCUUCUUUUUCCUGCGUGACCCUAUUUCUCAAUCACAUGGGAUGCAGAAAGAUCAUAAGCGCAUUGAGAGUUCAACAUAAGCUUGAUCCUUCAGAUUGCUUUAAACCCUGAGAUACCGUUUUAAAUUUGUUUUCAUUUUUUAUUGACUUUAUUUUUUAGUUUUUGAAACAGGAGUGAUACUCUGUCUCAAAAACAAAAACGAAACUAGUAGGUCAAAUUUGGCCCACAGGCCAUAUGGCCAUAUAUAUUAGUCUGUUUUCACACUGCUAUAAAGAUACCACCUGAGACUGGGUAAUUUGAAAAGGAAAAAAUUUUAAUUGACUCAGUUUCACAUGGCUGGGGAAGCCUCAGGAAACUUACAAUCAUGUCAGAAGGCAAAGGGAAAGCAAGGCACAUAUGAGGUGAUGCGAGGGUGAGAGAGAGAGAGUGCAUAAAAACUGCUGCUUUUGGCUGGGCGCGGUGGCUCACGCCUGUAAUCCCAGCACUUUGGGAGGCCAAGGCGGGCGGAUCAUGAGGUCAGGAGACAGAGACCAUCCUGGGUAACACGGAGAAACCCCGUCUCUACUAAAAAUACAAAAAAAUUAGCCGGGCGUGGUGGCAGGCGCCUGUAGUCCCAGCUACUCAGGAGGCUGAGGCAGGAGAAUGGCAUGAACCCAUGAGGUGGCGGUUUCAGUGAGCCGAGAUUGCACCACUGCACUCCAGCCUGAGUGACAGAGUGAGACUC